CUAACAAGGAUUUUCUUAGUAGCGGCGAGCGAAAAGAAAAUAGUUCAGCACUAAGUCACUUUGUCUUUAUGGCAAAUGUGAGAUGCAGUGUAUGGAAUGUCAAAUUUCUAGUAUGAGAAAUUAACGAUUUAAGUCCUUCUUAAAUGAGGCCAUUUACCCAAAGAGGGUGCCAGGCCCGUAUAACGUUAAUGAUUACUAGAUGGCAUUUCCAAAGAGUCGUGUUGCUUGAUAGUGCAGCACUAAGUGGGUGGUAAACUCCAUCUAAAACUAAAUAUAACCAUGAGACCGAUAGUAAACAAGUACCGUGAGGGAAAGUUGAAAAGAACUCUGAAUAGAGAGUUAAAUAGUACGUGAAACUGCUUAGAGGUUAAGCCCGAUGAACCUGAAUAUCCGUUAUGGAAAAUUCAUCAUUAUGAUUUUAAUAUUUAUAAUAUUAUAAUAAUGGUGUGCAUUUUUUCUAUAAAGGACAUUGUAAUCUAUUAACUUUACAUUAUUUAUCAUAAGAUCAUUAGAUUAUGUUUAUUCAAAUUAUUUUGCUUGCAAUUUAAUAUCGAAUAAAUUCUUUUGAUUUGAUAAAGCGUUGAUAGAUUUAUUAUAUACAGUGCUUAAAUAUUUAUAUUUUAUAAUAUCAUAUUAAUCAAUGAUUUUUAUGUUCAUUAUAUGCACUUGUAUGAUUAACAAUGCGAAAGAUUCAGGAUACCUUCGGGACCCGUCUUGAAACACGGACCAAGGAGUCUAAC
rnacentral:rRNA from 1 species